GGCGAUGUGGUGAAACUGGUAGACAUGCUACUUUGAGGUGGUAGUGGGAGCAAUCCUGUAGGAGUUCGAAUCUCCUCAUCGUCA
rnacentral:tRNA from 1 species